CCUCGAAACAGCCAUGCACGGAUACCGCGGUUGCUUCUUGUUUUUUUUAUGUGGGAUUAGUUAUUUGUAUGAGAGCCCUUUUGAAUUAUUCAGAAACUGAGAAAAAUGGAAGUCGGCGGAGUGAUAUUGAAAAGAGGAGGAGUUAAAGACAGCCGUUAAAGGCAAGCCCAACCGCUUCAUUUGCAGUGUGUUCAAAUUGAGUGCGGCUUUGCGGAGGUUGAGAGUUGAAUCUUGGCUGUUGUGGAUUUUGUCUUGAACCUGCCGCUGCACCGACAUCGAAAUGGCUGAUCAGCUUACAGAAGAGCAGAUUGCUG